ACCGACCCACUAGGUUCGCCAGCGUAUCCUCCGGGAGUGACGGGUACACUGUGGGGACCGCCGCUGCUAAAGCGGAGGAAGGAAUGGGCAACGGUAGGUCAGUAUGCCCCGAAUAUCCCGGGCUACACGCGAGCUACAAUGGUUGGUACAAUGGGUAUCUACCCCGAAAGGGGACGGGAAUCUCCUAAAACCAAUCUUAGUUCGGAUUGAGGGCUGCAACUCGCCCUCAUGAAGCUGGAAUCCGUAGUAAUCGCGUUUCAACAGAACGCGGUGAAUACGUCCCUGCUCCUU
rnacentral:rRNA from 1 species